rnacentral:misc_RNA from 1 species
UUGCCACAUAUGGGUAGGCAACCUAAUCAGAUAUGAAAUGAAACUUUUGAUUAGACAAAGUGUAACACAAGCAUUCAAGCAUUUUAAGAGCCAAAAAAACCCUGUACUGAUCAAGCUGGAUCAAACUAUGAAAAGAUUACAAGCCAUACACUCUUCCAAUGCAAUAUAACAAUAAAAAUGCCCAUAAGCUGCAACAAAGGAAACAUUAAACAAUUAUGAAAAGAAAAGGUAAAUAGAAGAAAGGAAAGAUAAAUCUUCACCUUAAGAAAUUUAAAAAUCUGG